GGGCCGGUAGCUCAGCUUGGGAGAGCGACGGCUUCGCAAGCCGUAGGCCGCGGGUUCAAAUCCCGCCCGGUCCACCA
rnacentral:tRNA from 2 species